rnacentral:rRNA from 1 species
UGGGCAACCUGCCCCUCUCUCUGGGAUAACCCCGGGAAACCGGAGCUAAUACCGGAUACUCCGGCUGGAUCGCAUGGUCCGGCCGGGAAAGGUCCGCCGGAGAGGGAUGGGCCCGCGGCCUAUCAGCUUGUUGGUGGGGUAACGGCCUACCAAGGCGACGACGGGUAGCUGGUCUGAGAGGACGACCAGCCACACUGGAACUGAGAUACGGUCCAGACUCCUACGGGAGGCA